rnacentral:rRNA from 1 species
UACGGGGGGGGCAAGCGUUGUUCGGAAUUACUGGGCGUAAAGGGCUCGUAGGUGGCCAACUAAGUCGGACGUGAAAUCCCUCAGCUUAACUGGGGAACUGCGUCCGAUACUGGAUGGCUUGAGUUUGGGAGAGGGAUGCGGAAUUCCAGGUGUAGCGGUGAAAUGCGUAGAUAUCUGGAGGAACACCGGUGGCGAAGGCGGCAUCCUGGACCAACACUGACACUGAGACGCGAAAGCUAGGGGAGCGAACAGG